GGAUAUUGGUACGGUUCAAUC
rnacentral:miRNA from 2 species